rnacentral:misc_RNA from 1 species
CUGAGCUGUCGGCAUGAGCUGUUGCUGGCCCCUCAAACCAGGGGGCAUGUGCACGCUCUGUUCACACAUCCACUCACACCUGUGCACCCUCUGUAGUUCUAUGGUCUGGAAGAUGCACCAUCUUCCUUCUGUAGUUCUACGUCUUUACACAUACACCGUAGUGAAGUUUUAUGGAAUGUGUGCCGCGUCUAACGCAAUACAAUA